rnacentral:hammerhead_ribozyme from 15 species
CAAGCGUCUAAGGUAGGCUUUCACUACAAUGCCUUACUGAUGAGUCCAAUAGUAGAAAGCUGGGACGAAACGCCAU